rnacentral:lncRNA from 1 species
AUGGAGUCAGGGCCGUCUGGAGGCUCCAGGCCCGCGGAGCCGGGGCCUCGCUUGCGCGGCUUGCGCGGCGCGGACGCGGCGGCCUCGGCCUCCUCGCUGAGCCGCUUCGGGGCCGAAGCUGGGUGUCGCGCGCCGGCUGUGGCGGCUGUGUUGCCGGCGGGGGUAGCGGGGAGAGGAUGGGCGUCCCACCCCGAAGCAGUUCUGCCCCAUCCUGGAGAGGCCGCUCAUCAGCUACACCCUGCAGGCCCUGGAGAGAGUAUCUUGGAUAAAGGACAUUAUUGUGGCAGUAACUGGAGAGAACAUGGAAACAAUGAAGGAAUUAUUCAGAGGUACCAGCAUAAACGUAUCUCACUGGUUGAAGCUGGAGUGACCCGCCACAGGUCAAUUUUUAAUGGUCUGAAAGCCCUGGCAGAGGAUCAGCCCAACUGUAGACUCUCAAAGCCAGAAGUAGUGAUCAUCCACGAUGCUGUGAGACCAUUUGUUGAGGAAGAUGUCCUCCUUAACGUUGUCACAGCUGCUCAGGAACAUGGGGCCUCGGGAGCAAUCCGACCUCUUGUAUCUACUGUCAUCAGCCCGUCUGUAGACAGCUGCUUAGACCACUCACUGGAACGUGCCAGAUACAGGGCAAGUGAAAUGCCACAGGCCUUUCUAUUUGAUGUGAUCUAUGAAGCAUAUCAGCAGUGUAGUGACUAUGACUUGGAAUUUGGAACUGAGUGUUUGCAUUUGGCUCUAAAAUACAGUCAUAUCAAAGCAAAACUCGUGGAAGGAUCCCCUGACCUCUGGAAGGUGACCUACAAACGAGAUCUGUAUGCAGCUGAAUCGAUUAUUAAGGAAAGAAUUUCACAACAAGUUUGUGUAGUUAUGGACACAAAAGAAGAUGAAGAACAUGUAGGUCGUUGUCUUGAAGAAAUGCUAAAAACGGAAUUAAAUCAUAUAAAAGUCACAUCUGGCCAAGAUCUUCAGCAAAUCAUCGUAGAGCAAUGCUACAACUUUGUUUGUAUGAAUGUUAUGACCUCUGAUUUUGAAGAAACCCAGAGGUUACUGAAUAUGCUGGAAGAGAGUAAUCUUUCCAUUUUAUAUCCUGUUGUGGUUAUUUCAGUGCAUUUUCUGGAUUAUGAAUCAGUACCAUUUGGUCAGAAAAUGGAAAAGGUAAUGCAGAUUAGAGAGUUUGCCAAGGAAGCGAAAAAAGGAAAUAUUUUAUUAUUUGGCCUUCUCAUAUAUUUCCCACAGAAUCCUAUCAACAUUUUUGAUUAUGAUCACUAA